rnacentral:misc_RNA from 1 species
AAGUCGUAACAAGGUUUCCGUAGGUGAACCUGCGGAAGGAUCAUUAUUGAAUAAACUUGAUGGAUUGUUGCUGGCUCUAUUAUUGAGCAAGUGCACAUCUGUCAUUUUUAUCUUUCCACCAUUGUGAACCAUGCAUAGACCUGUUAAUUUAAUCAAAGCCUGCUUUGAUUCUUGGAAAUCGCUGUUAUUUAUAUAUCACAGCUUUUUCUGUCUUUCAGGUUCUAUGAAAUUUUUAUAUCUAUACACCAAUGUAUGUCAAUGAACGUUUGUAAUGGGCUGUGAAGCCUAUAAAUUUAUUAUACAACUUUCAGCAACGGAUCUCUUGGCUCUC